AUUGAACGCUGGCGGCAUGCCUUACACAUGCAAGUCGAACGGCAGCGGGGGAGAAGCUUGCUUUUCCUGCCGGCGAGUGGCGAACGGGUGAGUAAUACAUCGGAACGUGCCCUGUAGUGGGGGAUAACUAGUCGAAAGAUUAGCUAAUACCGCAUACGACCAGAGGGUGAAAGGGGGGGACCGCAAGGCCUCAUGCUAUAGGAGCGGCCGAUGUCUGAUUAGCUAGUUGGUGGGGUAAAGGCCUACCAAGGCGACGAUCAGUAGCUGGUCUGAGAGGACGAUCAGCCACACUGGGACUGAGACACGGCCCAGACUCCUACGGGAGGCAGCAGUGGGGAAUUUUGGACAAUGGGCGAAAGCCUGAUCCAGCAAUGCCGCGUGUGUGAAGAAGGCCUUCGGGUUGUAAAGCACUUUUGUCCGGAAAGAAAUGGCUCUGGUUAAUACCUGGGGUCGAUGACGGUACCGGAAGAAUAAGGACUGGCUAACUACGUGCCAGCCGCCGCCGUAA
rnacentral:rRNA from 1 species